UACGGAGGGGGCUAGUGUUGUUCGGAAUUACUGGGCGUAAAGGGCGCGCAGGCGGCUUGGCAAGUCGAGUGUGAAAUCCCUUGGCUUAACUAAGGAAUGGCGCUCGAAACUACCUCGCUAGAGGACGGGAGAGGGAAGUGGAACUCUCGGUGUAGGGGUGAAAUCUGUAGAUAUCGAGAGGAACACCGGAGGCGAAGGCGGCUCACUGGGGCUUUUCUGACGCUGAGGAACGAAAGCCAGGGGAGCGAACGGG
rnacentral:rRNA from 1 species